rnacentral:rRNA from 2 species
GGUAGAGGAAGAUGUAGUGCGUAGCUUGAGAGGGGGAAAGUAAAAUGUAGAGUUAUAUUUAAGGUUGGGGUAGGGGGGGAUGGAUAUUAUUGAUAGAGCUAGGUGGGAUAUAGGUUAAGUGAAUAGAAGACGGGCGUUGGCCGAAAGGAAUAUUUUAGAAGAAGAGUAUGUGGAUUGUACCAGGAGGUGAGCGUGCUUAUAAUAAGGGACAAGUAAGUGAGGGUGGUAGGGGGUACGUUGUGUGGUAAAGGGGAUUGAUUCGUGAUCGGAGAUGAAAGGGCGGGCAGGGGUUGUUAUUCGAAGAUACGUGAGGAACGCUAUCCAGCGUCUAGACAUACUAGGCAAAUGUAAGAAAUUAGGCGUUGCCUUUGGGGACAGGGAUCCAGGUGGUGCAUGGUGGUAGUCAGCUCGUGUCGUGAGAUGUUGGGUUAAGUCCCGCAACGAGCGCAACCCUUAUUAUCAGUUGCCAGCAUUAAGUUGGGCAUUCUGGUGAGACUGCCGGUGACAAACCGGAGGAAGGUGGGGAUGACGUCAAAUCAUCAUGCCCCUUAUGACCUGGGCUACACACGUGCUACAAUGGAUGGUACAACGAGUUGCGAACUCGCGAGAGUAAGCUAAUCUCUUAAAGCCAUUCUCAGUUCGGAUUGUAGGCUGCAACUCGCCUACAUGAAGUCGGAAUCGCUAGUAAUCGCGGAUCAGCAUGCCGCGGUGAAUACGUUCCCGGGCCUUGUACACACCGCCCGUCACACCAUGAGAGUUUGUAACACCCAAAGUCGGGGGGGUAACCUUUUAGGAACCAGCCGCCUAAGGUGGGACAGAGAUUAGGGGAGUGUACAGAGCGUCGG